GACGAACGCUGGCGGCGUGCCUAAUACAUGCAAGUAGAACGCUGAAGGAGGAGCUUGCUUCUCUGGAUGAGUUGCGAACGGGUGAGUAACGCGUAGGUAACCUGCCUGGUAGCGGGGGAUAACUAUUGGAAACGAUAGCUAAUACCGCAUAAGAGUAGAUGUCGCAUGACAUUUGCUUAAAAGGUGCAAUUGCAUCACUACCAGAUGGACCUGCGUUGUAUUAGCUAGUUGGUGAGGUAACGGCUCACCAAGGGAACGAUACAUAGCCGACCUGAGAGGGUGAUCGGCCACACUGGGACUGGGACACGGCCCAGACUACUACGGGAGGGAGACGUAGGGAAUCCUUGGCAAUGGACGGAAGUCUGACCGAGCAACGACGCGUGAGUGAAGAAGGUUGUCGGAUCGUAAAGCUCUGUUGUAAGAGAAGAACGAGUGUGAGAGUGGAAAGUUCACACUGUGACGGUAUCUUACCAGAAAGCGACGGCUAACUACGUG
rnacentral:rRNA from 1 species